rnacentral:rRNA from 1 species
AAUAGAUACCCGGGUAGUCCACGCCGUAAACGAUGAGUGCUAGGUGUUGGGGGCAUCACGUCCUCAGUGCCGAAGGAAACCCAAUAAGCACUCCGCCUGGGGAGUACGGCCGCAAGGCUGAAACUCAAAGGGAAUUGACGGGGGCCCGCACAAGCGGUGGAGCAUGUGGUUUAAUUCGAAGCAACGCGAAGAACCUUACCAAGGCUUGACAUCCCAUUGACCGCACUAGAGAUAGUGCUUCCCUUCGGGGCAAUGGUGACAGGUGGUGCAUGGUUGUCGUCAGCUCGUGUCGUGAGAUGUUGGGUUCAGUCCCGCAACGAGCGCAACCCUUAUCCUUAGUUGCCAGCAGGUAAAGCUGGGCUCUCUAAGGAGACAGCCGGUGAAAGCCGGAGGAAGGUGGGGAUGACGUCAAAUCAUCAUGCCCCUUACGUCUUGGGCUACACACGUGCUACAAUGGAUGGUACAAAGGGCAGCAAAACCGCGAGGUCGAGCAAAUCCCAUAAAGCCAUUCUCAGUUCGGA